CUUGGGGGCCCCGGUUCCUCCGUGGAAGCUGUGAAAAAAAAUUUGCAGUCUCAGGAGAGGACCCCACAGCGACUGUUGAUCCCUCCAACAACAGCGUGUGUCACAGGACAUGUUAAAGGUAAACUCCUUCAUAAUGCUGGCUCCUCUUCGUCAAUGUAACUGAUGUGUUCUGUGGAGGACGUCGGUGCCUCCACCUGCCGUCCCCACUCCUGCAUUUCCAGCUCCUGGCCGUGAAUGAUGGUUCUUGCCUCCCUGUGAUGCUGCUGUGAGUUACACCAGAGCACAGUCGGGGUUUCUGUUCUCCUUGCGCUCACAAAGUCUAGAGACAAG
rnacentral:lncRNA from 1 species